rnacentral:rRNA from 1 species
GACGAACGCUGGCGGCGUGCUUAACACAUGCAAGUCGAACGGAAAGGCCCUGCUUUUGUGGGGUGCUCGAGUGGCGAACGGGUGAGUAACACGUGAGUAACCUGCCCUUGACUUUGGGAUAACUUCAGGAAACUGGGGCUAAUACCGGAUAGGAGCUCCUGCUGCAUGGUGGGGGUUGGAAAGUUUCGGCGGUUGGGGAUGGACUCGCGGCUUAUCAGCUUGUUGGUGGGGUAGUGGCUUACCAAGGCUUUGACGGGUAGCCGGCCUGAGAGGGUGACCGGCCACAUUGGGACUGAGAUACGGCCCAGACUCCUACGGGAGGCAGCAGUGGGGAAUAUUGCACAAUGGGCGGAAGCCUGAUGCAGCAACGCCGCGUGCGGGAGGACGGCCUUCGGGUUGUAGACCGCUUUCGCCUGUGACGAAGCGUGAGUGACGGUAAUGGGUAAAGAAGCACCGGCUAACUACGUG